UGAGUAACCUGCCCUUGACUCUGGGAUAAGCCUGGGAAACUGGGUCUAAUACUGGAUACUACCUCUUGCCGCAUGGUGGGUGGUGGAAAGGGUUUUACUGGUUUUGGAUGGGCUCACGGCCUAUCAGCUUGUUGGUGGGGUAAUGGCUCACCAAGGCGACGACGGGUAGCCGGCCUGAGAGGGUGACCGGCCACACUGGGACUGAGACACGGCCCAAACUCCUACGGGAGGCAGCAGUGGGGAAUAUUGCACAAUGGGCGGAAGCCUGAUGCAGCGACGCCGCGUGAGGGAUGACGGCCUUCGGGUUGUAAACCUCUUUCAGUAGGGAAGAAGCGAGAGUGACGGUACCUGCAAAAGAAGCGCCGGCUAACUACGUGCCAGCAGCCGCGGUAAUACGUAGGGCGCAAGCGUUGUCCGGAAUUAUUGGGCGUAAAGAGCUCGUAGGCGGUUUGUCGCGUCUGCUGUGAAAGCCCGGGGCUCAACCCCGGGUCUGCAGUGGGUACGGGCAGACUAGAGUGCAGUAGGGGAGACUGGAAUUCCUGGUGUAGCGGUGAAAUGCGCAGAUAUCAGGAGGAACACCGAUGGCGAAGGCAGGUCUCUGGGCUGUUACUGACGCUGANGGAGCGAAAGCAUGGGGAGCGAACAGGAUUAGAUACCCUGGUAGUCCAUGCCGUAAACGUUGGGCACUAGGUGUGGGGGACAUUCCACGUUUUCCGCGCCGUAGCUAACGCAUUAAGUGCCCCGCCUGGGGAGUACGGCCGCAAGGCUAAAACUCAAAGGAAUUGACGGGGGCCCGCACAAGCGGCGGAGCAUGCGGAUUAAUUCGAUGCAACGCGAAGAACCUUACCAAGGCUUGACAUUCACCGGACCGCCCCAGAGAUGGGGUUUCCCUUCGGGGCUGGUGGACAGGUGGUGCAUGGUUGUCGUCAGCUCGUGUCGUGAGAUGUUGGGUUAAGUCCCGCAACGAGCGCAACCCUCGUUCUAUGUUGCCAGCACGUGAUGGUGGGGACUCAUAGGAGACUGCCGGGGUCAACUCGGAGGAAGGUGGGGAUGACGUCAAAUCAUCAUGCCCCUUAUGUCUUGGGCUUCACGCAUGCUACAAUGGCCGGUACAAAGGGUUGCGAUACUGUGAGGUGGAGCUAAUCCCAAAAAGCCGGUCUCAGUUCGGAUUGAGGUCUGCAACUCGACCUCAUGAAGUCGGAGUCGCUAGUAAUCGCAGAUCAGCAACGCUGCGGUGAAUACGUUCCCGGGCCUUGUACACACCGCCCGUCAAGUCAGGAAAGUUGGUAACACCCGA
rnacentral:rRNA from 1 species